rnacentral:rRNA from 1 species
AACGAACGCUGGCGGCAUGCCUAACACAUGCAAGUCGAACGAGACCUUCGGGUCUAGUGGCGCACGGGUGCGUAACGCGUGGGAACCUGCCCUUAGGUUCGGAAUAACUCCCCGAAAGGGGUGCUAAUACCGGAUAAUGUCUUCGGACCAAAGAUUUAUCGCCUUUGGAUGGGCCCGCGUUGGAUUAGCUAGUUGGUAGGGUAAAAGCCUACCAAGGCGACGAUCCAUAGCUGGUCAGAGAGGAUGAUCAGCAACACUGGGACUGAGACACGGCCCAGAAUCCUACGGGAGGGAGCGGUGGGGAAUAUUGGAAAAGGGGCGAGAGCGUGAUACAGCAAUGCAGCGUAAAUGAUGAAGGCCUUAGGGUUGUAAAGCUCUUUUAACCGGGAUGAUAAUGACAGUACCGUGAGAAUAAGCCCCGGCUAACUCCGUG